UAUGGCACAUUGAGACGGAG
rnacentral:miRNA from 1 species